GGUCGGCUGGCUCAAUGGUAGAGUGCUUGACUACGAAUCAAGUGGUUGUGGGUUCGAUCCCCACGUCGACCU